AGAACGAACGCUGGCGGCAGGCCUCAAACAUGCAAGUCUAGGGGGUGUAGCAAUACAUCACCGGCGGACGGGUGCGUAACACGUGGGAAUAUACCUUUUGGUUCGGAACAACGCAGGGAAACUUGCGCUAAUACCGAAUGUGCCCUUACGGGGAAAGAUUUAUCGCCAAAGGAUUAGCCCGCGUAGGAUUAGCUAGUUGGUGAGGUAAUGGCUCACCAAGGCUCCGAUCCUUAGCUGUUCUGAGAGGAAGAUCAGCCACACUGGGACUGAGACACGGCCCAGACUCCUACGGGAGGCAGCAGUUGGGAAUCUUGGACAAUGGGGAAACCCUGAUCCAGCCAUGCCGCGUGAGUGAUGAAGGCCUUCGGGUUGUAAAACUCUUUCGACGGGGACAUAAUGACGGUACCCGUAGAAGAAGCUCCGGCUAACUUCGCGCCAGCAGCCGC
rnacentral:rRNA from 1 species